rnacentral:rRNA from 1 species
GAUGAACGCUGGCGGCGUGCUUAACACAUGCAAGUCGAACGAGAAGUGGAGACGGAAACCUUCGGGCGGAAGACUUUAUUUCGAGUGGCGGACGGGUGAGUAACGCGUGGGUAACCUGCCUCAUACAGGGGGAUAACAGUUGGAAACGACUGUUAAUACCGCAUAAGACCACAGCACCGCAUGGUGCGGGGGUAAAAACUCCGGUGGUAUGAGAUGGACCCGCGUUCGAUUAGCCAGUUGGCGGGGUAACGGCCCACCAAAGCGACGAUCGAUAGCCGAUCAGAGAGGAAGACCGGCCACAUUGGGACUGAGACACGGCCCAAACUCCUACGGGAGGCAGCAGUGGGGAAUAUUGCACAAUGGGGGAAACCCUGAUGCAGCGACGCCGCGUGAGUGAAGAAGUAUUUCGGUAUGUAAAGCUCUAUCAGCAGGGAAGAAAAUGACGGUACCUGAGUAAGAAGCCCCGGCUAACUACGUG